rnacentral:lncRNA from 1 species
CUGGGAUCUGGAUACCACUGAUAAGCUCUUCUGCUGACUUCUGGCUUUUGUGAGUCAAGAUUAAUUUGUUCAGUAAGAGUUUUUCUAGUGAAGGAAGACGUUUCAUAGACUUGAUAUUUCUUCCCUAGUGUGAAGCAGCAAAAUCAUUGUAUAAGCGUAUUUGCUAGUAGAGAAAUUAAUAGAAUGCAGGAAUAGAGUAUUUAAAAUAUGACAAAAGCAGAUUUAUGUGAUCACUGCAGAUAGAAAAGGGAUUGUACAUAACGUUUACUGACCAACACCAAAUCAAGGUGACAAACUGCUUCAAAGUUUCACCCUUCUCCAGUCACUGGGGGACCCACAGUCACCCUCAUCGGGAAAACAAAGGAUCUGAAGUACCAAUAGUGUCUUACUUCACCCAAGAGACAGGAGUAAUAUCUCUGAUGGAAAGCAUUUAUUCCAACCAGAAGCUUAUUCAGAAGAGAAUCAUCUUGCCUGAAUAUGGAAAGAAUAAGCAAAAGAAAUGGACAUGCAUUCUUAAUUUGAUUUCUUUAAGAUGUCAUUGAAAAAUUAAUUUGAAAAUGAGAGCUGCCUUUGGCACAGCACCCAGGGGAAAGGUGAGUGAGCUCCUGGGCCACCCGGCGCGGGGGACGAGGGCCAAGGCGGUGACGACACCGACACCGGCCUCUGCCAGUGGAGGAGGGGACCUGCAUGCAGGAAGGCCCAGAGCCCCCGGGCACAGCAGCAGGACGGUCACUCCAGGACCCCUGGCAAAGUCACAUACAUUGUCUUGUUUCCUUGCCUUGGACUUCAAGCUGGAACUGAGGCAUUGAAUAGAG